AUCGGAUUUACAGUGUUUAAAAGCAGUUUAAAACGACAUUAGCAACCUGAAGUAUCAAAAAUGUUUCGAAGCAUUGCAUCGUACGUGCUGUUUUUUAUGAUAGGUUCGACUUAUGCAUGGCCCUCUGCCUUCAAAGAGCCAGUUAAUCCAAGUAAGUAUUGAAAGUACCAUAGGUAAUGACUGAAAAUAAACGACAAAGGUGAAAAUUUUUCACAAUAUUGUGGAUAAAGUUUGUUUAGAGCUUCCAGAGAUACUGACAAAAAGCUGCUUUGAAGGAGCGUUAUUACACAGUUAUACAUUUGAUCGUUCCACCAUGUCCUGUAAGAGAUUCUUCCAUCAUGGUGGAUGUAAGACUUCUCGUAAUCUGUUUAAAACAUUGGCGGAGUGUGAAGAUGUUUGCAAAAUAUUGUAACAAAAUAUAAUUCUUUAUGUUAUAAAAAUGUUCCCUAUUCCGUAUUACACUUCAGAGUUGUGAAGUGUCUGUUGUCAUUAAAAGUCUUUAACAAAUACAAAA